rnacentral:rRNA from 1 species
GAUAAACGCUGGCGGCGUGCAUGAGACAUGCAAGUCGAACGGGUGACUCAGGGCUUGCUCUGAGUCGCUAGUGGCGGACGGCUGAGUAACGCGUAGGUGACCUACCCCGAAGUGGGGAAUAACUGCCCGAAAGGGUGGCUAAUACCGCAUGUGACCGGUCAUUCAAUUGAUCGAUCAAAGCAGCAAUGCGCUUUGGGAGGGGCCUGCGUCCGAUUAGCUCGUUGGUGGGGUAAUGGCUCACCAAGGCGACGAUCGGUAGGUGGUCUGAGAGGACGAUCACCCAGACUGGGACUGAGACACGGCCCAGACUCCUACGGGAGGCAGCAGUCGGGAAUUUUGCUCAAUGGGCGAAAGCCUGAAGCAGCAACGCCGCGUGAGGGAUGAAGGCCUUCGGGUUGUAAACCUCUUUUCUCAGGGACGAUUAUGACGGUACCUGAGGAAUAAGCCACGGCUAACUACGUGCCAGCCGCCGCGGUAAGAC